CCUACGGGAGGCAGCAGUGAGGCAUAUUGGUCAAUGGACGCAAGUCUGAACCAGCCAUGCCGCGUGCAGGACGACGGCUCUAUGAGUUGUAAACUGCUUUUGUACGAGGGUACACGCAGAUACGCGUAUCUGUCUGAAAGUAUCGUACGAAUCCGGAUCUGCUAACUCCUUGCCAGCAGCCGCGGUAAUACGGAGGAUUCAAGCGUUAUCCGGAUUGAUUGGGUUGAACGGGUGAGUAGGCGGUCGGAUAAGUUAGAGGUGAAAUCCCGAGGCUCAACUUCGGAAUUGCCUCUGAUACUGUUCGGCUAGAGAGUAGUUGCGGUAGGCGGAAUGUAGGGUGUAGCGGUGAAAUGCUUAGAGAUCAUACAGAACACCGAUUGCGAAGGCAGCUUACCAAGCUACUUCUGACGUUGAGGCACGAAAGCGUGGGGAGCAAACAGGAUUAGAUACCCGUGUAGUC
rnacentral:rRNA from 1 species